rnacentral:lncRNA from 1 species
UUUCACAAAAAAUAAAGGAGCAUCCAACAGAUAGACCAUAUGUCUAAAAAAACUCCUUACCCCCAUUCAAUUUCCUUCCCCUCCUCUUUCAAUCUGGUUCUCUUAGCCUCCCCCUCACCCUUCUAGUAUCAACAUUCGAAGAAGCAUUCCCCUCCAAGUAAGUUGAUUUCUCCCCUUUUAGAUUUUUUGUCGCAAGAACAUGAGCAAAUUCAUUUGCUAGUCUUGGAACAUGAUUGAAACUAAUUUUUUGAAAAUUAUUCUUCAUUUGUUGAAUAUUUUUUAUGUAAACACCAAUCAGUGAUUUAUCAAAUUCCAGAGACUUACAUUUCUUAACUGUUGUUAAUGAAUCCCUUUCGAUAAUGACUCGGCUCUAUCCUUUGUUAACACUCACUCUUACCACAAGUUGACAUGCUAAAGCAUCAGUAGCAAAGGCAGACGCUACUCCUUCAUGAAAACUUGUACAAGUGAAGAGUAUUGUUCCACACUCAUCUCUAGCAACCACUCUUAAUGCCGAUUGAAAACUCCGGCCAUCAAAAGCACCAUCAAAGUUUAUUUUGAUGACUAAACUCAUCGGAGUUAUCCAAGUAACUGCCUCCUUACUAUUUGUACAGGUAUAUUUUUCCAACCCUUCAAGUUCUCCUAUAUAGCUAGAAAUAAAAUUUGUAGUAUCUUUACCUAUAAUAACUUUCUUUUCAUUAACCCUUUUGUUUUUGUCCUUCCAAAUAGCCCAGAGUGCACAACAGAGUAACUUCCUUAAAUGGGUGGUACAAGAUUCAUAAAUUCUAGGUAAGCCAAUAUUUGAACUCCAGACCUUGAUUAAUUAAAAAUUGCAGACAAAUAACUUUGACCAAACAUCAACUGUUAUAGGACAUUGCUAGAACAAAUGAUCCAUUGAUUCAUCCUCACCUCCACAUAAUGUAAUUUUAAGUUAGCAAAUGUAGGUAGAUAGUUCUAAGAAAUCCUUCAGAAUGUAAUUUUAAUUUUUCCCGGGAGGUCUAGUUUCCAUAAGAGCUUAUAAAAAUCACAAGAUCUGGUCUGUAAUGCAUAAGUACUAGGAUCCUCCAAAUUUUUUUGUAAUAGUUUGUAGGUGCUACCAACCGAGAACUCCCCCGAAAGCUCCCCACCUCAUAUCAAAAAAUCUUCAUGGGCAUCCUGAGCAAGCAGAAUCUGAAGAAUAUGAUCAACAUUCGACUGCAUGAAGGUAUCCUUAAUUAACCCCUGCUUCCAACUUCGACAUUAGAAUCAAUUAACUUUGACACCAUUAAAUUUUGCAAAAUUUGACUAUUACUGGACACUCUAAAAUUUUCAUUACCAAGAAUCCAUGCAUCAUCAAAUACAGAGAUUUUAUUCCCUAAACCCACACGCAGACAUAAGCCCUCCUUUAAAACCCCUUUAGCCGCUCAAAUACUUUUCCAUGUGUAUGACGGAUUAGUCUCUAAUUGAGCAUCCAUAAAAUCAGAUCUUGGGAAAUAUUUAGCUUUCAACACCCGACUAAUAAGUGAAUUUGGACAAGUACUAAUUCUCCACCCCUGUUUGGCUAGCAAAGAAAUAUUAAACUUUCCCAAGUCUCUAAAACCGAUCCCUCUGUUCUCCUUCAACUUACACAUAUGUCUCCAUUCAAACCAAUGAAUCCCAUGCCUCCCUUGUCCUUUUUGCAACCAGUAUUUCGCUAUAAUGCUUUUAAUUUCACCACAAAAAUACUUAGGAAAUAAGAAACAUUACAUUGCAUAAGUGGGAAUUGCUUGCAACACAGUUUUAAUAAAGAUUUCUUUUCCCCCUUGUGACAAGAGCCUUGUACUCCAAUUCUCGAUUCUUACAUUAAUCCUAUCCUUUAGACUUUGGAAAGAUGCUUUUCUAUUUUUACCCACCAUAUUUGGAAACUCCAAAUACCUUUCAGCAUUACUUGAAAAACACAAUCUCGUCAAAUUUGAAACCCAGUUCUUUUCCCUCUCAAGUACAUUUGAGCUAACAAAAAUUGAUGAUUUACUGAAGUUCACACUUUGGCCAAAACAAAUUUCAUAUUCCUUAAGAAUAUCUUUCAAUAAGAGAGCAUCUCUGGUUGUCGCCUCCCCAAAAAGGAUACUAUCAUCUGCAAACAAAAUAUGUGAGAUUCUAGGCCCUCAUCUACUAGCUUGUACCCCUUUCAAAAACCUCCCAUCCAUAUCCAGCCUCAUCAGGACUGAAAUUCCUUCAAUGCAAAAGAGAAAUAAAAAAGGACUAAGAGAAUCCCCUUGACGAGGGCCUCUUGAAGGCCAAAAAUGUCUUCCCAUGCAACCAUUAACCAUUACCGAGUAAGAAGUCGAAGAAAUACAUCUUAAAAUGAGCCCUAACUAAUCAGUACCAAAACUCAUCUUUAACAUAAUACCUCUAAAAAAGCCCAUUCAACCUUGUCAUAGGCUUUACUCAUAUUUAACUUUACUGACAUAUAGCAUUUAUUACUAGUAUGCUUUUGGAAAAAAAGUGUACAGCAGUUCAUAAGCAAGUAAGACAUUAUCAAAAAUCAAUCUCCUCAGUACAAAAGUGCAUUGAGCACAAUCGACAUAGUUCCCAACAACACUCUAAAGUCUAUUUGCUAAAACUUUUGCCACAAGUUUAUAUAAAAUAGUACACAAGCUAAUGGGUUUAAAAUUUGUUAAAUUUUUUGGAUUUUGGAUUUAGGAAUAAGAACGAUCUCGGCAACAUUUGCAAGUUCAAGAUCAUUAUCUUCAUUAAGAACAUCCAAACAGUAAGCAAGAACAUCCUUCAUAAUGAUAUGCCAGUACUUCUAGAAAAACAUAGCUGGGAAACCAUUAAACCCGGAGCUUUUCUGGGCCCUAUUUCUUUCAAAGCUGUGUAAACUUCCCCCUCCGUGAACUUUGCUAAAAGGAAGAUAUUCUUGUCUUAAGAGAUGCUUGUUUUAAUCCCUGAUAAAAUAUGCAACAAAUCUUCAAUCCCAUUCGAAGAAAAUAGAUUUUGAAAAUAAUCCAUAGCUAGCUCCCCAAACUCAUCCUCCAUGCUUGCUAAUGUACCAUCUUCGUAAUCCAAACUUUCAAUGAUAUUUUUCUUUCUUCGAAACGAAGUGUAUCUAUGGAAAAAAAUCGUGUUUUUAUCAUUUAAAUGAAGCCAAUUAGCUCUUGCCCGCUAUUCUCAAAAAGCUUCAUCCUUAUCAAGUUUAAAGUUCAAUUGAAUCUUGACAUCAAUGAGUGCCGCCAAAUUAUCAUCAUCUCGAUCCUCAGCCAUAAGAUCAUCCAAUUUUUUUAGAAAGGACAUAUUUCAAUUUAUUACGAUUUUCCUUAAUCAUCUUCUCCCAAUUAAUCAAACCAGUACUCAAAUCUAUUAAUUUUUCAAAGAUAGAACCUUUGGCUGAAUCCUAAAGUCUCAUAAUUUCUCCUUCAAAAAACUCCUCCAACGUCCAUCACACCUCAAAUUUAAACAUAGUUGCUUUGCUUGUCCUUGAUUCUCUAACAAUAUUAAGAAGGAUCAGACAAUGAUCCGUGAUAGAAUGUGGAAGAUGUUUGAUUUUCGUGUGAGGGAACAUGCCCAACAACUCCUUAUUAGCACCCACUAUCCAACAUCUCCCUAAUAUUUGUCUCAGGCAAGUUUCCACGUUCCCAAGCGAACCAAUUUCCCACAUACCCCACAUCCCUAAAUUUACAAUCAUCAAGUUCUCUUUGAAAAGCCUUCAUUCUACAUUCCUCCCUUGGUACCCCACCAACCUUCUCGAAAGAAUAUAAAAUUUUAUUAAAAUCUCUGCACACUAUCCAAGGAAAAUUCUUAUCAUUCCAUAACCUUCUUAAAAGAUUCCAAGUUUCUUCUCUAAAACCCACAUAAGGUGCACCAUAGAAACCUGUAAAGCACCGCAACCUAUCAUUAACAUUUUCUAUUAUGAGAACAUCCAUGUGAUUUUUUGAAUAACUCCUCAACUCAACAUUAACGUCCUCCUUCCAAGCUAGACAUAACCCACCCUUUGAACCAGUCGCCCCCAUUUUAAUCCCAAAAUUAAAACCACAAUGCUGUCUCACCUUCUCUAUUCUAUUUUCAUCAAUUUUAGUAUCCAUAAAGAAGAACAAAUGGGGAUAGUAAAACUUCACCACUUAUCAUAGUCUUUAUACUGUCCGUAGACUCCCCAACCGACGAACAUUCCAGCAUAAGAUUUUUAUUGUUCCCGGCCGGCUUAUCGAUUGGUAGCCACCGAUCCUUGUUGAAAAGAAACAUCAACCUGUUCCCACAAAUUUGACUCCAUUUCUAAAACCCCAAGAUCAUCAUAUUUUCCUUCCAUAAUUCUUAUUUUUUUAUUAUUUCCCCCUUUAAAGCUUACUGUCUAACCUUUUCAAGGUCCAUUAUUCCCACUUUUCGCUUUCCUAUGCCACUUGGUCCAUCUUGAAACUUUCCUUUUUUUAGUCUAGUGACACGUUUUCAACUGGCAUUUUUUGUAUUAUGGGAAAAUUUUGCAUCUAGAUUAAUAGGCCCCAACUUUGAUUGUAUCUUAUCCCAUUACCUUUGCAUAUCAUCCUCAAUUAACUCUUUAGACAACUCCCAUCUCAAUGUAUCCUCCAAAAUUUUAGGGAGUGAAGGAGGCACAAAAUCUUUUAAACUCUAGUAAUUAACAGUAGUUUCCAAAAUUGAAGGUGUAACACUCAUUAUCCGUACCCGAGACCGGGACAAGGUACAGGGCAUUACUGUGCACGAACAUGACAUUUUCAAAAAAAUUUGGGCUAUAAAAUUUCAUUCCAAAUUAAAACCAAUCAAUCAUAUUCAUAAUAUCCCUAUUAUGGACCUACGAGGCCUAAAACAUACAUUGAGAAUGGUCUGGGACUAAAUUGAGAACUUAAGAAAGUUUUUGGAAAAUUUCUUAGGUUAAGCCUCAAAUGUCUGUGUGGAGGCAAUGCACAUGCCCCUAUGCUUUGGGGCACGCUCGUGUCCCUUACCCGUGAGGAAUUAAUUGAAUUUAUUUUUAAUUUCAAACCUACAGGGGUUUUCACACGACCGAGCACAUGCCAGUGUCCAUGGCCCGUGUACUUCACACGGCCUAGACACGUUCGUGUUAUCACCCGUGCUUAAAAACUCGAGCAUUCUGUUUAUGACAUCAUCAUGCAUUUAGGGAUACACGGCCAGGACACACGUCCAUGUGCUAGGCCGUGUCCACACGGUUGAGACACACGGCCGUGUCUCUACCCGUAUGUUUACUACCAUGCAUUCUGACCUAAAACUUUUAGGUGCAGGGGACACACGGCCAUACCAAACGCCCGUGGGGCUGACGGUGUGUCACACACGGCUUAGACACACACUUGUGUGUGUCUAUUCGUAUGGAUCUUUUUGGAGGCUACAAAUCUAAGCCAAUGGUCACCCUCAAUAACCACUCAUAUCCGUGAACUUCAAUAAUGUUUAACAUGGCCUAAAUAUGCCUAAGUACUACCAUAAAUGGUUUAUUGCAUGUUAACCUCAUCUCAUCGGUUAUGUACAUGCUAAUUUAUCCUCUUUGUAUUUAGGAUUUAGAUCUCAUUCAAAAACACGUUUAGACUUGGCUCAUUAUUAUAACUCAUUGCCAGUUAUGACCUAACCAUCCCAAGUGAUUUGGCCACAUUUCAUAUAUUUGUUUAUAAUAUACUACAUUUAAUCAUCACAAGAACAUUUAACCACAAACAAGCACAAUUAUUAAGUCAUAACCUAUAUCAAAAUGAGUCAUGUCUUAUGGCCAUAUACAAAAAGAAUAAGUUUAAUAUUUAAGCCUUUACAUAGGCCAACCAAUGACAUAUAUCACAAAAUAACCAAAACCUAUACAUGCCAUUGAAAAAAAAUAAAGUAUCUAUAUACCAAAGCAAAACAAGUUGAUAGUGUUGACAAUACUCCAAUCGCCUUCCAAUCUUCACGAGUUCAUAAACUUUGUAAAACAAGGAAAUGAGAGGGGGUAAGCAUUAACAUGCUUAGUAAGUCCGGAUAACGAGAAAGUAAACUUACCGGGUAUUUAGCACGAAAUCAUACAAGACAUUCAGACCAAACAUUCAUAGUAAAAUUUCCUAUUACAUGUACUCAACCAUCAAGUUAGUCUCAUGCCAGUACAAUGUAACAUCUUUCAUAGAUGAGCUCAUCAAUUCAAACAUGUCUAUUCCCAUUUAACAUUUUAAUCCCGUCGAAUUUCUUGGAAUCUCAAUGGAUAUCUCGUUUACCAUCAAAUCAUGCAAGUGAUCCUUUAAAUACGCACUCCUGUGUACCUCACUUUUAUGGCGAGAUUACCAGUCCAGGCUAAAUCCCCCACAAUGUAACUUACAGUGUAAUGUUGGGAUUACUAGUCCAGGCUAAAUCGCUUACAAUGACAUAUACUCCUAUGAGUUCAGGUCUGAAUUUCCAGUCCAGGCUAAAUUCAGAUCCUAUUCGGAUUACACGUCCGGGCUAAAUCCGUCAAAGCACACAUAUUCCUUGGGUUGCUAGAUCACUAUAGGAUCAGAGUUCGGGCUAGAUCUUUUGUACCAUUAUUUUGUUUUCGAGUAAUCCAUGAGAAUCCCUUUUUAUUCAACCGGGACAUUUCAUCAUAACAUUAAUAUUUCAUAAGUUGUCAUACAAUAAAUAUUACUAUUAUAAUUCAUACAUGUACGUACAUCUUUAAUGUAUUUUAAAGAUAGUUUACAUUCGAGUUACACGAACAUACUUGGUAAUUGCUUAGGUUUCGCAUUUCAGUUAUUCUAAAACCUUUCGUUUUCCACGAUCGAUCUCCGAAAUUGGUUCCUUAGGGUCUAUAUUAGUAAAAUAAAUUAUUAAUACCUCAUGUUAUUUAUUUCGGCCCUAAAAUUCACACUCAGGCAAAAUGACCAUUUUGCCCUUAACAUUUCAAAAUUUUAGAACUUAGUCCCUAGGCUCGUAAAAUGAAAUACAUGCAAUUCCUUGGUUACCCAAGCCUAGCCGAAUGUAUUAUAAACUCAUACUAGCCCACGUUUUACUCUAUUUAACAUUUCUACCACAUAUUUUGUACAUUUUGCAAAAAGGUCCUUUUAUGGGUUUUUCAUGAAAAUCACUUAGGAAAAGAUGUUUAACACACAUCUAACUUUCAUAUCCCCCCAUAAAUCAUCAAAGAAAAAACAUGUCACACAUGGUUCAUUUUGCAUACAUGAACUCUAGGUUAAAAUAUGGGUAGAAAUGGAGAGAACAUAUUACAAAGAUCUAAAAAAUACAAAGAACACAUGCUUACUUUCAUAUUCUAGGCCUCAUAAUAAUCAUAAAAUAAAUAUUUUGAAAACGGAUUUGUGAUCCCAAAACCACUGUUCCGACUAGGCCCAAUUUUGGGAUGUUACAUUUCUCCCCCUUAGGGACUUUCGUCCUCGAAAGUCUUACCAGUAAACAGGUUCGAAUAUUGAAUUUUCAUGGUUUCUUCAGGUUCCCAUAUGGCUUCUUCCACUACGUGUCUGUGCCAUAAAACUUUUACCAAGGAUAUAUUCUUUUUCCUUAAUUGUUUGACUUCUCGAGCCAAAAUUUUGACCAGUUCUUCACCAUAGGUCAUGUUCGGUCUAAUGUCAACUUCCGUUGGUGAAAUCACAUGUGAGGGAUCUGAUCUAUGUCACGUAACAUGGACACAUGGAAAACAUCGUGAAUCUUUUCCAUUUCGGAUGGUAAGGCUAACCGGUUGGCUAAAGGCCCAAAUCAUUCAGUAAUCUCGUAUGGUCUAAUAAACCGCGGGCUCAAUUUGCCUUUCCGGACAAAUCUCAACCUUUUUCCAGAUAGACGCUUUCAAGAAUACUUUAUCUUUGACUUGAAACUCAAUCUCUUUCCUUUUUAAAUCGGCAUAUGACUUUUUCCUAUCCGAUGCCGCUUUCAAACAAUUGCGAAUCACUUUAACCUUUUCUUCAGUUUUCUUGAUGAAGUCAACCCCGUGAAUCUGGUGUUCCUUGAGUUCCGUCCAAUAUAAUGGAGUUUGACACUUCCGGCUGUAUAAUGCCUCAUAAGGUGCCAUCUUUAAACUCGUCUGGAAACUGUUGUUGUAGGCGAACUCCACCAAUGGCAAAUAUUUUUCCCAACUACCCUGAAAUUCAAGGACGUAACAUCGUAACAUAUCCUCAAGGGUCUGAAUCGUCUACUCAGACUGACCAUUGGUCUGUAGGUGGAACGCCGUACUAAAGCUCAACUUUGUACCCAAGGCUUCUUGUUGUUUCUUCCAAAAUCUUGAAGUGAAUCUCGGGUCUUUAUCUGAAAUGAUCGACAACGAUAACCCGUGUAAUCUCACAAUCUUGGAUAUGUAUAAGUCGGCAAAUCUAUCAAGAGAAUAAUCUGUCCAUAUAGGAAUAAAAUGAGCCGACUUCGUUAGUCUAUCCACUACAACCCAAACAACAUCUUUCUUUUUCGAGGUUAACGGUAGUUCAGUCACGAAGUCAAUGGUGAUCCUAUCUCAUUUCCAUUCAGGAACCAUUACAGGCUGUAAUAAACUUGAAGGCACUUGGUGUUCAGCCUUGACUUACUGACAUAUCAAGCAUUUCGACACAAAUUUAAAUAUGUCUCUUUUCAUGCCAUUCCACCAGUACAUUUUCUUCAAAUCAUUGUACAUUUUGGUACUUCCUGGGCGAAUUGGCAGAUGACUAUCAUGUACCUCUUGCAAAAUUUUCUAAAUAAGCUCAUCAUCUUUGGGUACAGAAACCUUAUCUCAAAACAUUAAACAACCAUUAGAAUCAAUCUGAAGAUUUGAUUCAACUCCCCUUUCACAUCGUGCUCUUUUGACUUGCAAGUCACUAUAAUUGAUCUGAGCUGCGCAAACCUUUUGGAGAAAUAUCGGUCUGGCCCUCAACUCCACUAAAACCGAACCAUCAUCAGAUAACGCCAAAUGCGUGUUCCUAACCCUCAGAGUAGACAAGGACUUUCUGCUCAACAUGUCGGUAACUACAUUCGCCUUACCAGAAUGGUAAUCGAUCACAGGCUCAUAAUCCUCAAUCAACUCUAGCCACCUUCGCUGUCUCAGAUUCAAUUCCUUUUGAGUCAUCAAGUAUUUCAGACUCUUGUGAUCGAUGAAUACACGGUAAGUUUCACCAUACAAAUAGUGUCUCCAAAAUUUUAAGGCAAAUACAAUAAUAGCUAGCUCUAAGUCAUGAGUCGGAUAAUUUUUCUCGUGUGGUUUCAAUUUCCUCGAUGCAUAGCUAUCACUUUACCCUCUUGCAUAAGCACAUAACCCAGUCCAUUUAAGGACUCAUCACUGUAAAUCGCAAAUUCUUUUCCCGAUUCGGGUUGUACUAAAACUAGAGCUUCUGCCAGUAAUGUCUUCAAUUUAUCAAAACUUUGCUGACAUUUUUCCGACCAUUCAAACUUAACAUCUUUUUGCAGUAACCUCAUCAAGGGAGUUGCAAUCAUUGAAAAUUCUUUCACAAAGCGUUGGUAAUAACUGGCUAAACCCAAAAAGCUUCUAACCUCUGUUACGCUCUUUGGCAGCUUCCACUCGACAAUAGAAGAAAUUUUAUUCGAAUCAACUUGGAUGCCAUCACCCGACACAAUAUGAUCGAGAAAUCCAACUUCUUGAAGCCAAAACUCGCUCUUGCUAAACUUUGCAUAGAGUUUCCUAUCCCGUAAAGUCUAUAAAAUAGUCCUCAAAUGUUCAGCAUGUUCAGACUCAUUCCGAGAAUAGAUCAAAAUAUCAUCUAUGAAUACUACUGCAAACUUGUCCAAGUACAGCCAGAAUACACGAUUCAUUAAAUCUAUAAACACAGCUGGGGCAUUUGUUAGACCAAAAGGCUUGACGAGGAACUCAUAGUGGCAUACCUCGUCCUGAAGGCAGUCUUAGGGACAUCUGCCUCCUUAACUCGUACCUGGUAGUAGCCGGAUCUCAAAUCUAUUUUUGAAAAUAUGGUGGCUCCCCUCAACUAAUUGAACAAGUCGUCAAUCCUUAGCAAGGGAUACUUAUUCUUAAUAGUCACCUUAUUGAGUUGCCGGUAGACUAUGCACAACCUCAUCCAUCCAUCUUUCUUUUUCACGAAUAAAACAGAAGCACCCCAAGGUGAAGAGCUCGGUUUUGCAAAACCUUUGUCAGUCAAUUCUUACAACUGUGAUUUUAACUCCUUCAACUCAGUUGGGGCCAUUUUGUACGGAGUAAUAGAAAUAGGCAUCGUUCUCGAUACUAGCUCAAUACCGAAUUCCACCUUUCUAAUAGGAGGCAACCCUGGUAACUCUUCUGGAAACACGUUCAGAUAUUCACAGGCUAUCGGUACCGAUUCAAUCUUCAAUUCAGAUUCUUUAGUAUUCAAUAUGAAUGCAAGGUAAGCUUCACAUCCUUUCCUUAUAUACCUUUGAGCCAUCAUUGAAGUAAUCAUAGCCGGCGGUGUAUUCAACUCAUUCGAAUCAACCCGUAGAAUGUCACCAUCUGAACAUUUUAAUUCCAUGUACUUGCUACUGCAGUUUACUAUCACAUCAUGGACGGUCAACCAAUCCAUACCAAGUAUUACAUCAAAUUCGUCAAAUGGCGAAAGCAUAAGAUUUUCCGGAAAACAAUGCCUUUGAAUUGUCAAAGGGAAAUUCUUACAAACUUUAUCUACUAAUACCGACUUGCCUAGAGGGUUCAACACCUUAAUUACAAAUUCCAUUGAUUCCACAAACAUGUUCAUGCUAGACACCAAUUUCAUGCAUAUGUAGGAAUGGGUUGAGCCCGGAUCAAUUAAGGCAAUAACAUUACUAUUAUGAAGAGAAAAUGUACCCAUAAUGACAUCGGGAGUUAAAGCUUCCUUUCUAACUCAUAUCGUAUAAGUCCUUGCGGGGGCUCGAGCCUUUGAUUUUGCAGUCGUAUCCUUGGCAGCAGUUCGACUACCACUUGUACUUCCAGGAUGUUGUGGUGGUCUACCUCGAGGAUUAGGAACAUUAGACUUUGGGACUAAAUCCAGCUCUUUAUUGGCUCGUUCAACCACAUCUAAAACAUGCCCCACUCUUCAUUCAGCAUUCCCCGAAAUGAAACUUGUUGUAGGUUUUACAUCUUGACUUUUGAUUAUUUACAUUCUCCACACUAGUAACCUUAGGGGAUGAAGACUUUGGGUUGUGUCGUUUAAAGCUUCUCAUUUUGCCCGAAUAUCCCACCGAUGCAGGGAGCAUUCUUGUUGACUCUUUAAUUUCUUCGUGGAAAAGAAUGCGUUCUACCGCUAGAUCUCUUGCUCGAAGCUCUAGCUUCUCUCUUUGCUUGUUUUCUUUGAUUAUUCAGUUCCUCAGCCUUCUUGGCUCGAUCAGCUAACGUAGUUAACUCUCUUAUUUCAAGAAUUCCAACUAACAGUUUGAUUUUUUCAUUCAGACCUUGUUCGAAGCGAUUACACAUUUUCACCUCUAAUUGGACCCACUCACUUGCAUACUGACUUAGUCUCACGAACUCUCUUUUGUAUUCUGACACGGUUCUGUUUCCUUGUUUGAGUUCCAUGAACUCAUUUUGCUUCUAGUCCAAGAACUUUUGGCUGAUAUACUUCUUCCUAAAUUCUGCUUGGAAGAAUUCCCAUGUGAUACUCUCUCUCGGUGCUAUUGAGAAUCCUGUCUCCCACCAAUGGUAUGCAGUGUUCUUCAAUAGCGACACCGCACAUUUCAAACUUUCUUCAAGAGUACAUGACAGUUCAUCGAGAACUCUAAUGGUAUUCUCAAGCCAAAAUUUGGCACGUUUCGGAUCGUCAUCAAUUGUGGCCCUAAACUCUUCGGCUCUAUAUUUCCUAAGUUUGUCCACAGGGGCCUUACCAAUUCUCAUGGGUACCACACCUUGUGGCACUUCUCCUUCAGGUCAAGUAAGGGGUGGAGGAGGUCGAGGUAUAUUGGGGCGGUUUCUCAGAUAAUCCCCAAACCAUUCAUCCAUCAACUCAAAGAAGGCAGUUCUUUCCUCUUCUCGACCUUCAGACACAGGCAUUCUACUACUACUAGUAGUGGCUCGUUGAACGAAAGCUGAAGCAUGGCUCUCGGCUCCCUCAGACUCAUCUUGAGCUUGAUUGGAAGACAUUUACUAUAGUCACAUACAAUUAAAAAUGGUUAGGAGAUGUCACACUAUCAUAACUUGUAUAAUGGCAUGUAUAGAUAUACUCGACAUAUGCUACGUUAGACCUAGAACCGGCUAAAUUGUAUCUCUGAUAUCACUAAAUGUAAGAAUCCUUACCUGUACCUAAGACCGGGACAAGGUACAAGCAUUAUUGUGCAUGAACAUGACAUUUUCAAAAAAAUUCGGGCUAUAAAAUUUCAUUCCAAAUUAAAACCAAUCAAUCAUAUUCAUAAUAUCCCUAUUAUGGACCUAAGAGGCCCAAAACAUACAUUGAGAAUGAUCCGAGACUAAACCGAGAACUUAAGAAAGUUUUUGGAAAAUUUUUUAGGUUAAACCUUACAUGCCCGUGAGGAGGCAAUGCACAUGCCCGUGUGCUUUGGGACAUGCCCGUGUCAUUUACCCUGUGGAAUUAAUUGAAUUUAUUUCUCGUUUCAAACCUACAGGGGUUUUCACACGGCUGAGCACACGCCCGUGUCCAUGGCCAGUGUACUUCAUAAUGCCUAGACAUGCCAGUGUUGUCACCCGUGCCCAAAAACUCGAGCAUUCUGUUUAUGACGUCAACAUGCAUUUAGGGACACACGGCCAGGACACACACGCGUGUGCUAGGCCGUGUCCUCCACACGAUUGAGACACAUGGUCGUGUCUCUACCCGUGUGUUUACUACCAUGCAGUCUGACCUAAAACUUUUAGGUGCAGGGGACACACAGCCAUACCACACACCCAUGGGGCUGACCGUGUGUCACACAGGGCCUAGACACAUGCCCGUGUGUCUAUUUGUGUGGACUUUUUUGGAGGCUACAAAUCUAAGUCAAUGGUCACCCUCAAUAACCACUUAUAUUCGUGAACUUCAAUGAUGUUUAACAUGGCCUAAAUAUGCCCAAGUACUACCAUAAAUGGUCUAUUGCAUGUUAACCUCAUCUCAUCGGUUAUGUACAUGCUAAUUUAUCCUCUUUGUAUUUAGGAUUUACAUCUCAUUCAAAAAAACAUUUAGACUUGGCCCAUUGUUAUAACUUAUUGCCAAUUAUGACCUAACCAUCCCAAGUGAUUUGGCCACAUUUCAUAUAUCUAUUUAUAAUAUACUACAUUUAAUCAUCACAAGAACAUUUAACCACAAACAAGCACAAUUAGUAGGUCAUAACCUACAUCAAAAUGAGCCAUGUCUUAUGGCCAUAUACAAAAAGAAUAAGUUUAAUAUUUAAGCCUUUACAUAGGCCAACCAAUGACAUAUAUCACAAAAUAACCAAAACCUAUACAUGCCAUUGAAAAAAAUAAAGUAUCUAUAUACCAAAGCAAAACAAGUUGAUAGUGUUGACAAUACUCCAAUUGCCUUCCAAUCUUCACAAGUCCACAAGCUCUGUAAAACAAGGAAAGGAGAGGGGGUAAGCAUUAACAUGCUUAGUAAGUCCAAAUAAUGGGAAAGUAAACUUACCGGGUAUUUAGCAUGAAAUCAUACAAGACAUUCAGGCCAAACAUUCAUAGUAAAAUUUUCUAUCACAUGUACUUAACCAUCAAGUUAGUCUCAUACCAGUACAAUGUAACAUCCUUCAUAGAUGAGCUUAUCAAUUCAAACAUGUCUAUUCUCAUUUAACAUUUUAAUCCCGUCUAAUUUCUUGGAAACUCAAUGGAUAUCUCAUUUACCAUCAAGUCAUGCACGUGAUCCUUUAAAUAUGCACUCCCGUGAACCUCACUUUUAUGACGGGAUUACCAGUCCAGGCUAAAUCCUCCACAACGUAACUCACAGAGUAAUGUCGGGAUUACCAGUCCAAGCUAAAUCCCUUACAAUGAAAUAUACUCCUACGAGUUCAGGUCUGAAUUAUCAGUCCAUACUAUAUUCAGAUCCUAUUCGAAUUACCAGUCCGGGAUAGAUCCUUUAUACCAUUAUUUCAUUUUCAAGUAAUCCAUGAGACAUCCCUUUUUAUUCAACCAGGACAUUUCAUCAUAACAUUAAUAUUUCAUGAGUUGUCAUACAAUAAAUAUUACUAUUAUAAUUCAUACAUGUACAUACAUCUUUAAUGUAUUUUAAAGAUAGUUUACAUUCGAGUUACACGAACAUACUUGGUAAUUGCUUAGGUUUCGUAUUUUAGUUAUUCUAAAACCUUUCGUUUUCCACGAUCGAUCUCCGAAAUUGGUUCCUCGGGGUCUAUAUUAGUAAAAAUAAAUUAUUAAUACCUCAUGUUAUUUAUUUUGGCCCUAAAAUUCAACUCAGGAAAAAUGGUCAUUUUGCCCCUAACAUUUCAAAAUUUUAAAACUUAGUCCCUAGGCUCGUAAAAUGAAAUACAUGCAAUUCCUUGGUUACCCAAGCCUAGCCGAAUGUAUUAUAAACUCAUACUAGCCCACCUUUUACUCUAUUUCACAUUUCUACCACAUAUUUUGUACCUUUUGCAAAAAGGUCCUUUUAGGGGUUUUUCAUGAAAAUCACUUAGGAAAAGAUGUUUAACACACAUCUAACUUUCAUAUCCCCCCAUAAAUCAUCAAAGAAAAAACAUGUCACACAUGGUUCAUUUUGCAUACAUGAACUCUAGGUUAAAAUAUGGGUAGAAAUGGACAGAACAUGUUACAAAGAUCUAAAAAAUACAAAGAAUAUUAAAAACGGGGCUAGAAGUUACUUACUAUUGAGCUUGGAAAGUGAAGAAACCCUAGCUAUAGUGUCCCUUGGAAUUUCAGCAGCAAGAGGGAGAAGAAUGGGUGAUUUUUUUGCUUUUAUUUUCCCUUUUUAUUGAUUUUAUUGCCAAAUGACCAAAAUGCCCUUCCAUAUUAAACUUCUAAAAUUUUCCAUGCAUACCCAUUUUUGUCCAAAAUCUUAGAAAUUGAGAAAAUUACUCUCUAAGACCUUAUAAUUAAUAAUCUAAAGCAAUUUCAUGCAAAUUUCUUCUAGAAUCCAAGUUCUGCAAUUUAUUCAAUUUGGUCCUUAAUUUCCAAUUGGAUGCCUUACACUAAGAAUUUCUUCAUGAAAAUUUAACACAUACUUACUUUCAUAUUCUAGGCCUCAUAAUAAUCAUAAAAUAAAUAUUUUGACAUCGGAUUUUUGGUCCCAAAACCACUGUUCCGACUAGGCCCAAUUUUGGGAUGUUAUAGAAGGAUUCUUAAUUACACUGGUCUCGUCAUUUUUCCUCCCCGUAUAGUUUCACAUCUGUAGUGUUUGUUUCAAAGAGGACCCAAAAUGUAAACAUUCCUUUCUUAUGAGUGACUAUUCUACCCUUAGCGGUAUAAAAUGAGAAAAUUCAUCAACUGCAUUCUCUUUAUCUUUGGUUGAAAUUUCCUUACAAUCUGUUAUUUCAUGCCCCAUUUUACCAUAGCAAAAACAAAAUAUUGGAAGGUUUUUAUAUUUGAAAGUGACCUAAACCUUUUUCCCUACUUCCGUUGAAAUAAAAAUGGCUCUCCUCAAAGGUUUCUAUGCAUCAAUUUGUGUCUUUAGGCAAUAGAAAUCUCCUUGUAUUUCCAAUCGUAUCACCCUCAAAGAUCGACCCAAUAGCAUGCAUAAGUUUCUUUUUAUCACAUUCUGAGAGGUAAUGACCAAUCUUAAGCCAAAAAGGAUAUCAAACCAAGCAAAUCUGAUAUCUAUUAAUAGGUUUCGUUAACCUAUCAAAAAUAAGUUGCCACCGAAAAACCAUGGUCUACCCUCUAUUGUCCCUUCCAAAUCCUAUUCACUAUCAAACAAAAUCAAGAAGAGAUUUUGACAUACCACUUUAAUUUCAAAUUUCCUCAUCAUCUUCUAAAUGCUUUUUAAUUGUACCCUGAAAUUGUCAGGAUUAUAAGACUUUUUUGUCCAAACAGAACAUAUUAAUGAUAUAUUUCCAAUCGGGACCUCCGGCGAACUCUUCACUAAUAGUUGAACAAGUUUUUCCUCAAGAAAGGAAAUCUCAUCCUUCAUCAUACUCCCCUAUCAAAGUCACCACUCACCCUCAACCCAACUACAGUUACAAAAUUGUUUCUCUGAAUCACUAGAGAGAGCACUCUUGCCUUUUUUAUAUAAAAUAUUAUAACAAGAUGUAUCUGCUUUUGUUAUUUUUUCUAUAAAUAUCAUCUUUUUCUCAUGUCUUUCUAAAAACUUAGAAAAUUAAAGUUUCUGAGAUUAACAUAGUAGAAAUGCUCAACUAAAUAAAUAUAGUAGAAACUAUUUGUAAUCUUUAUGCAACAACAAACUUACAAGCUAAAGCUCGGUGAGAACGAAAAGUGCAAAUACAUCCAACUUAAGCACUUAUAUGAAGUAAUUAAUUUGAGUACCGCUUCUAAUAUACAAUUCUAACGGGACACUCAUUUGAGUAUAUCAACAUUAAAGUCAUCUUUUAACUCAUUGUUGGUAUUAGAAUAAACCAAUCAUCGACUCUCAAAAUGUAACACCCCAAAAUAUAGAGGGUUAGAUGGAAUGAAUCAUCAAGAAACGAGCCUUAGUCUUGAUGGAUAAGAGCUUAUUCUUGAUGGAAUCGAACCCCAUCUCCCCCAUUUUCUUUAGCAACUAGGGAACAAAAAUCAAGCUUGUUUAUAUGUUAAAUGUGAUAAGUAAGGCAUUUCUAUUCCCCCUUGUCCACAGGUUCAAAUCACGCCUCUCACCUUCCUAUUUACUUAUUUUGGACAAUAAGAAGGGCUAUUUUCCCAAUCAGUCCCUCAAAUUUGAAACUCUAAGUAUUUAAUAACUUUUUCUAAUCAUACAUUGAUUUUAAUUCCUUUUCAACCCAAAAUUGAACUCUUUUUCUUCCCCUUUAAAAUCCUCAUCUCCUUUUAUUUUCCCUUUCCCUUUUCAUAAAAAUUUUACAUUCUUUUGCUGAAAAUUGAUUUCUUGAAAACCUGAAUCAAGAUCAAUUCUUAUUUGAACCUGUCUCUUCUUCAAUCGUCGAAUCUACCAUCGAUAAUCUUUGAAAUUCCAUCAAAGAUAGGGAAACAUUCUAGUUUUAAUUACGUAGAACCUUAGAAUUUUUGAAUAAUAUCUUUCUUAAAAAUCUUUCGAAUCGAUUAUUAAUAUUUUAUGAUUUUUCUCGAAAAUCUUGAUAAUUUUGAUAAAUCUUGAAAGUCAAUAUUAAUUCUGAUACUGGCAACUCAGUCCAAUUCAAAGACCAUAAUAGAGGACUUAGUUUCCCUCAAGGACUAAUCACGAGAUCCAAAUCCAAGUAGCUAAAGUCAAAACUCAACUUAUUUGUUUAAGACUUUAUCAUAAAAUAUUCGAGAAGAAAAGUUGAAACUUCAAGACAAUGGAUUUUGGAGCAAGGAUGAAUUAGAAGGGAUUAAUUUUGUUUGUGGACCUAAACUCUCAAUUUAUGAUGACAAGCCCAUGUGGAAAAUGUUAACAAGUUCAGACGUUUCAUUUCAAGGACCCUAAUCAAUCCCACAAGCUUAGAAGUUUCAUAUUGGGUUCGGGUUUUAGGCUUAAUUUUUAUUAUAUAUGAGCCCAAUAUUGUAUUUAUCAACUCUUAUUAUUUUAUUAUUUCAAAAUUUUGACAAUUAUUAAGUAUUUGAAGUUAUUUAGGAGUUUCAUGUCAACAAGAAAGUUUAGUUUAAAACUACUUCUUGUGUAGGUUAAUUGGAGUUCUAGUAUACUUAAGAGAUUUAUUUAGAUUUAUUUACCUAGCCUAUAUAAAGGCAUUUGCAUUGUACACAGAAAAUCAAUUCAUUAUUAUUCACUUCGUGUUUAUAAAUUUUUCUUUGAGUUUUCUAUUCAAGUAAUUUUCUUAUUUUUUCUUUUAAAAGAGUUUUAACAAUCUUUUCAGAUUGUGGGGAUCAUAUUCAAACUUUUUCUUGCCAAGUUUUCUUUCUUGGAGGGGAAAUUAGAGCCGCUUGAAGGGGGUUCUAAAUUCUUCUUGUUUCCAAGGCUCCUUAGGUCUUCUACACGCCAUGUUCUAUCUUUUCCAUCUAUAUUCUUUAUUUCCUUCUUUAUUAUUCUAAUAUUUGAUUUAUCUUAGUUAUUUAUUUUAAUUGUUUUAUUUGACUUGGAUUCGAUUGCGUUUCAGGUUGUGCCAAAAUUCAAGUUUUUUCUCUUAAUGUCUAGAGCCCUAAGUCAAAUCCGUGACUUAGAAAAACUUUAUGAUCCUCUUCCACAAUCAUCUGCCUCAUUAUUUAUUAUUUGGUAUCAAAUUAUUGUCCAUUUUAGGUGUUCUUUAUGUUCUCAAAAAUUAAUUUCCAACAAACAGCCUCAAAACAGUUUUUUACCCAAAAAGUUUUUAAGAAAAAAUAUUUUAUAGUGGGUAAACAUUUUUAAAACGAUCUAAAAUUUUACAUAGUGAUUCUUGACACUCUUUUAGAAUAUUAAAAAUUCUUUCCCACAAAAAAAGAGAUCGAAAAAGUGAAAAAAUAGAAAAAUAAUAUGUGGUUUGAAUUUUGUGCCGAAAAUUUCAAGAUCAAAUAUACAUUAUUUUAGGAGGCUCCUGUUUAAAUUUUGCAAUUUUUGGAAAUCAAGAACACCUCAAACAAAGUUUGUCAAGUUGCUUAUCAAUUUUUCGGAUUUUCAUUUUUCUGGGAUUUUCAUUUGCUCUUAGCCUUAGGUUUUCAUUUGUUUUUUAUUUUUAUUGUUCAUUUACAUAUUCUAACACUUUAUUGUUUCUUGUGUUAGUAUGUUAAAGCAUGCUGCACAUUUCUUCCUCCAUGCAACACAAUUCUUUGGUGUCUAGCCAAUUUUGGACUCAUAGUGCUACUAGGUUUGCUUUGUUAGUUUGAUUCUAAUACCUUCUAAUUGAUUGAUACAGACACUUUUAAAAGACUCACAAGAUUAAUUCUUAUCUCGUUGAGAAUUUUUUUUCUGAGUGUAUAACUGUGAGGUUUGCUUAAAUUUUUCUUUUAAGUGUUGUGCUUUUUUUCUAGGCUAUCAUAAUGACUCAUGAUACUCGCAAUAACAAAGGGAGUGAUAAUCCAAGUGAAAAUCCACUGGUUACCACUGAGAACCUUGUUGGUUUCACAAUGAAAUUGAAAAACGACUCUAUGAGGUCCAUGAUAAGUUCAAACACUUGAUUGGCAAGAUACAGCAAGAUCUAGAUGACUGAGAGGCCAAAGACAGACAACGAGAUGCUAUAAUUCAGAAAAUUAGCAAUACCUUGAAUUCUUGGAUGCUCAAGUUAAGCAUUUGACUGAUCAUUUGGGCAAUGAUGAUGGUGUUGAACAGCCUUGUGUUCGUGGAAAUAAUGCUAGGCGUGCACCUCGUGAAGAUGAUGAAACUUUGGUUAAUAAUGAUCAUGAGCAACCUUCUUUGGCUAAACCAAAGUUCUCAAUUCCAUAAUUUUGAGGGGGAAAUGAUCCUAAGAAAUACUGUGAAUGGGAAUAAAAAAUUGAACUUAUGUUUUGUUAUUAUAAAUACCUGGAAGAUGAAAAAGUCCUAUUGGCAACCCUUGAAUUUUUGAAUUAUGCAUUGAGUUGGUGGACUUAACUUGGAAUUAGUUGUUAAAGAAACCAAGAAAGGGAAAUUGAAACAUGGGAUGAGUUGAAACAAGUGAUGCGAAAGCAUUUUGUUCCUUCUCAUUACUACAAUAAUGUCCAAAUGAAACUUCGACGCAUUGUUCAAGGCAGUCGGUCAGUUAAUGAGUAUUUCAAGGAGAUAAAAAUGGUCAUACAAUGAGCAAAUGUUGAUAAGGAUGAUGAAACCAUUAUGAUACGUUUUGUUGAUGAUUUGAACAAGCCUAUAGCCAACACUUUACGAUUACAGACUUAUAUAGAUCUCGAUGAGGCAGUUUACAAGGCUAAUGAGAUUGAACAACAAUUGAAAGAACAAGGUCCCUCGUUCGUUCUCCACUUCACAAUAUUAUAGAGGUAGAAGUUCUAAUUCUACCUUUAAGAAUUCAAAACAACCUUUUACUGCUAAUAAUUUUUUUAAAAGUGGUGAUACAAGAAAACAUAUUAGAAAAGUGGGGCUCCUACGAAAAUCCAAGUAUCUUCUAAGCAACCCAAUUCGAGUGGUUCCAACACGAGGAGAAAUCGUGAGAUUGAGUGCUUCAAAUGUCAAUGACAUGGGAAUUACAGUAGAGAUUUCCCUAACACAAGGCUUCUCCUUAUCAAACAAAAUGGUGAAUAUACUUCUGAUUCUGAUAAUCCAGACAUGAAAGAGUUUAUAAAGACCUCUAUAAGGUGAAGCAUGACACCUUGCAAGAAUAUCUUCCAUUUCCUCCUCGGCCACACACUUUUGAAUAAGCUAAUCAGUACACUAUUGAAAAGUGUAUGGCUCCUCCAAAAUGCAGUCUUUAGCAUCAUGAACUUUUUUUUCUUUUGUUGACUUUUGUUGACUCGAUGCUUCAAUGGGAAAAACACCUCGCACUAAGUAAUUAACAAUGUCAUCAUACCAAGGUAUGGAUGGUAUCUUAUCUCUCACAUACAACACUACACACGGAAUAACUACUCAUCCAUAAAAGUCUUAUUUAUGUCUCAAAUCCCAUAUUGGUCAUUCUCAAACUCCAACCGAGAUAAGUGAUCUGUAACCUAAUUCUCUUUCCUUUUCCUAUCUAAAAUCUACCGAUCAAAUUCUUGAAGAAAAAAUGACCACCUCAUUAACUGAGACUUUGUUUCCUUCUUCUUCAUCACAUACUUCAAUGUCAAAUGAUCCCUAUGUACAUAAACUUGAUUUUCCAUCAUGUAUGGCCGGAGCUUCUCACAUGCGAACACCACAUCUAACAUUUCUUUCUUAGUAGUAGUGUAAUUACAUUGGGCAGAAUUCAAUAUCUUGCUAGCAUAGUGAAUUGCGUGGAAAACCUUUUCUUUCUUCUAACCCUAAAUUACUCCCACUACAUAAUCACUAGUCUCCCACAUAAUCACAAACGACUUUACCCAAUUAAGGCUAAUAAUGAUCGAGGCAGUGAUUAGCCUUUCCUUCAGGGUGUUGAAUGCUUGAAUGCACUUUUCAUCGAAUGUGAAUGAGACAUCUUUUUUUAGGAGAUGACUUAACAGUUUUGAGAUGUGAGAGAAAUCCUUGAUGAAUUGUUGGUAAAAUCUGGCAUUCCCAAGGAAGUUUCGAAUUCCUCAAAUGAAAUAUGGAGGUGGCAAUUUCUUAAUAACUUCAAUCUUAGUACGAUCAACCUCUGACCCCUUCUUAGAAAUCCGAUGACCAAGAACAAUCCCAUCAUUUACCAUGAAGAGACAUUUCUCCCAAUUUAGAACCAAAUUUGUAGCUGUCAAUUAGGUUGCUUUUGGAGAUCACACUGUCUGUCAACUCUUUCAGUAGUUAUAGAUUUAUUUUGGCCAGUUAUAAGUGGCAUGUAAAUAAGGCUUUGGUUUAUGCAUUUUGAUGAUCAUUUGGUCCUAUUUUGUGCCAUUUGAAUUAUGAAAUAUAUGUAUUGAUUUAAAUCCUUAAUGGUAUUUGGUUGAUUUGGUAUUUGAUGGAAUAGGUGUGCUCAAAACUUAAUGCAUUGCUAGUUUAUUGAAUUUGUACAUACAUGAUAGGUUAAUUGGUGAAACUCAAUUGGUGAUAAAUUGGCUUUAGAAGGCUUGAUAUAAAUGGUUGAUUAUAGUAUAUGUUAGUUGGAAAUUAUUGGAUGAUUGAAUAAUGUUAAUAUGUUGAUUAUGUCUUGCUUUGGAUGGUUGUUGUUUAUGUUGAAAUGUAGUGCCAAUGAAGGCAUAUUUGUUAAGAACAUAGGUUGAAUGUGAAUUGGCAUAUUUUGGUGCACUUUGAAUAGGUUAAUGUGAUGGUAAAUGUAUGGCUUGAUGUCUAUGAAAUUGUAGGUAAAUUGGCUUAUGUUUGAAGGUACUUUGGGUACACAUAGUCUGCCGCAGGGUCGUGUGUCCCACACGAUUGCAAGACAUGACCAUGUGGCCUAUUUGAUUUUCGAUAUAAAUUUGUCUACACUAUUUCUGAGAGUUACAUGACCUGGUGACACAGCCAUCUGACCCUAAGUUACAUGGACUCAAGUUGUUACACAGCUUGGUCACACAAUUUGGGCUUUGUCACACAGCCAUGUGACACCUGUUUUCACUUUUUACCUAAAUUUUUAUAUAAGUUUUAGUUUAGUCCAAAAUUGUUCCCAGUUUGUUUUAAAUGUUUUGCAUGUCCAAUUUAGGUUUGAAUAUGAUUGAUUAACAUGGAAAUGAUUGUAAUUGAAUUAUGGAAUGAAUUAUUUGGUUAUUUAUGAUAAGGUAGCUAAUAAGUUGAUGUUUUAUAAUUAUAAUACCUUAUAACUUGCUUUGGGUGACCAAACCGGGUAUAGGGUGUUACACCUACGAUCAAGAAUCUAUAUAUUUUUCAAAGAAAUUGCUUGGUUACCUUUGUUAUUUGAAUGGUUAAAUGUUGAAUAUUUGAAAUAGGUUUCUUCUUUUCUUUCUUCAAUUUAAACUACCUAAAUGAGAAAGGAUGAUGAUGGCUUUAAAUUUUUAUACAUUUUAAUUAUCAUAUUAAAACUAGUGGGAAACAUAUCAUCUUCCACUAUCUCAUGAUAAACAAUAGUUUAUUAACCAUGUUGGUCCUUUAGAUAAUUGCUAUCUAGGCCCUCAAGCAUCAACUUACAGGCUUUAAUUAGUCCCUAAGCUUUCAUUAAAGCUAAGAGACUAAUUUAUGACAUAUGAAUGUGACAUCCUGAUGCCUAGACUUGGCGAUCGGGUCGGGUAUGGGGUGUUACAUUUGGUGGUAUCAGAGCCUAGGAUUUUCGAUUCUCGGGCUAAAAAUGAGACUAAAAAAAUACAUGUUAUAUAUUAAAUAUAUAUAUUAAUGAAAUGUGUAUUUGAAAUUAGAAGAGAUGGAGAAAUGGGACUUAAAUUAUUUUUUAAUAAAUAAUGAUGUUAGCAAUAUUCGCAUGAAAUAUAGAUAUGAGAAAAAAAUAGAGUUUGGACUUGAGAAAGUAAUGAAGAAGUGAAGGUAAUAAAAAAAUAUCACAUGAGAUGAAGCGACAAGAAUAUAAGACUAAAUUGUAAAAAUUUGAAAACUAUGUGAUUGAAAUAAGAGAAGUGAAAUGUAUAGAAACUUGAUAUGUAAAAAAAAUAUGAAAAAAGAAUUACUUGAUACAUGAAAGAGAAUGAAAUUGAAGUAAUGGAAUUAUAAAAAAUUAAAUCUUUGUGUUAAUAACUUGUUUUCAUUAUGUAAUGCUUUUGGAUAUUUAUUUUACUAUAACUAGUUAUAUUAAUCUUAUUUUUUGAGUUUUGUAUGAUUUUGAAUGAUUUAAUUAAUAUUUAUACAAUUAUAUUUUGAGAUGAAAAAUAUGCUUUCAAAUGAUUAAAUUAGCAAAUUCUUGGUUAUAAUUUGAGAUUCGAAAUAUUAUGAUUUCUAACGAUGAACAAGCAAAUGUUUGAUUAUAUUUGGUUGAAAGCAUAAGUUUUUUUUAUAUGAAGUAUAUGAUUUGAAUAUGAAUUGAGACUAAAAUGAGAAUGGAAAUGAUAGUAGAAAUGAAAUUGAUAUGAGAAAGAAAAUCAGAUUGAUUAUGAAAAUUUGAUAUAAUUGGCAUGCCAUAGAAUAUUUACAUCAGAGAUUUAAAACUCCCCAAUUUCCCAAGGGUUAAGGGAAGAAAGACUAAAUAGUUAGAUAAUAUUAGCCCCAAUUCCCAGAAGGUCGUGGGCAGUCCUAAUUCCCAAAGCGUACUGGACUUAUUUUGAUAGCCACCGUUGCCGAACAACUCAUGGUGGCAGAUUCGCAUAUUUGAACUUAAGUCUAAAUUUUAGCGCCAAGAUUAACUUGAAAAAAAAUGAAACGAGAAUGAUGUGAAAAUUAAAUGAAAUGAAUUAUGAAAAUUGGUUUUUACCUCGUUAGCUAAGUUAGACUGAGUUUGGUUAUAGUUGGCAUACCAUUGAGUUUUUAAAUCAGAGAUAUAGAACUCCCAAAUUCCCAGAGGGUUGUAGGCGAUCCCAAUUCCCAGAGGGUUGUGAACUUAUUCUGAUAGCCAUCGUUUUCGAACAACUCGGGGUGGUGGACUCGUGUAUCCAAUCAUAAGUCUAAACUUUAGUUUGAGGACUAAUUUAAAAGAAAAGCGAAAAUGAAAGUAAAGCUGUAAGUAUAUUGAAUUAUUUGUUGAUAAGGGUUAAAAUUGUAAAAAGAACAAGACUUGAGUUGUUUUAUUCCUUGUAAGUAAAAGAAGUGAAAUAAAUGAAAGACAAAUGAGAAUUAAUAAGAUAUGAUUAGCACUUCGGUGCGAUAUUAUGAUUAUGCACUUCGGUGCAAUAUUGUGAUUAUGCAUUUCAGUGCAUUAUUGUUAAUUUUCUGCAUAUCUUAUGAGUUCUCUUAAGUCUACAAUGAGUUAUAUAAGUGAAAAAUGGAAAGUGAAUGAUUAGUAAGAUUUGGUAUGUGAUUGUGAUGAAAAGUUAACUAAUGUUAAAAAAAAUUAAUAACUAUUACUAAUCUUGAUAAUUUUCUUGAAAAUUUUAAGAGGAAAAACAUGAUGAAUGAAAAUACGAUCAAGUGAUAUUAGGUGAUUUUAAUUAAGUGUAUAAUACUUUAAGUGAUGUGGCUAGUGGAUGAAAUUGUAAAUGAAAUAAAAAUAAGUUAAGUAAUUAGUAAAAUUGACUUUUGUGAGUAAAUAUAUUGAAAUUGGUAUAAUAGACUGCCUAUGUAAAAUGAUAUUGAAUUAUGAAUAAUUAAAAAAACAUAAGAAAUAAAAGAAGUAAAGAAGUGAAAUUUAGCAAAAGAAAGGUAAAUACUUGUAUAAACUCUAUUUAUUUUUUCAAAGGAUUAAAUUGAAACAUAUUGUAAAUUAAGUGUAGAGAAUUCAAAAUAAAUUAAAAAUAAUAUUAGUGUGGGAUUGAUGGAGAGAAAUAAUAUUUAAAAAUAUUAUAAGAAUUAAAAUGAGUAAAUUGACAUGUAUGAGAAAUGAUAAAUGAAAUAGGAAAGAAUUGUGAAAUGCACAGGACAAAUUAGAACGUGAGAUUAAUUAAAUAAGAUGUGAAAGUGUAGAGAAAGAUAUAAAUAAGUAUUCAUGAGUUAGAAAUUAUUAAGUGAGAAAUGAUUUAAUUAGUAACUAAAUGAAAUUAGUAAAGUGAGUAUAGUAAGUGAUAUUAAAUCAUGAUAGAGUAAAUAAGCGACAAAAUAUGAUAAAGUGAUAUUGAAACACAUUUAUAGGGGUGUUAUUAAAUUGUAAAGGAUUAAGUUGGAAUGAUUGUAAAGUUAAGAGUCAUGAAAAUUGAUGUAAAGGAAGGCUAAAUUGCAAGAGUAUAAAAAUAUAGAAGUGUGAAAUAAAGACACUUAAAUUUAAUUAUAAGAGACAUUAAAGUAGUAAAUUAAUGAAUAUUGAUUUGUAAGAAAAUAAUGAUUAAAAUGCAAAUAGUGUAAAUUUCUUGAUAUGCUAUUAAUUGAUAAAUGAUAGCGAUGGAACGUGUAACACCCUGAUAAAUUUAUUUUUGUUCCUAUAAAUAUUUAAGAUAAAUAUCUAUCUGCUUUAGUGGUUCAGUGUUCUGGGUGUGUAUAAGAGAUCUUGAGUUUAAGUUUCUUUUUUACCAAAUUUUUUUAUUUUUCUGAUCUAAGCCUGACCCUUGUGGAGUGAGCUUAUAUAAAAUUAUCUGUGAAACUUUAUCAAAAUGAGCUUAUUGGUUUGAUCGGUAAGGGGGUUGUUAUGUUAAAGGUCUUGUGUUCAAGUCUUUACGUGAGUGAGGGAGUUUAUUUUUGUUUCGGUUGGUUGGAAGAGUUUGGGUGGUUUUGAAAUUCUAGGUGGUUUGGAUGUAGUGGGGAUUGUGCAAAUUAAUUCUUUUGUAAUUAUUUUGGUUAUUUUUCAAUCUCUUCAAGUUUUUUUUCUGACGUCUUCUUCUUCAAUACUUGUUUUCCAAAGGUUUUCUUUUAUUUCUACUUUCUUUGAUUCCUUCUCGUCAUUCAACUGUGAAAUUUCUGUGUUUUGGGAUCUGUAAUUCCUGCUUGGCCUGUGGUAGGUAAUUAUUCUUGAAGAUUUGGGUGUUUGAAAAUCAUUUUAGGGAAGUAAUGCUGUGAUUUCUUGUGUAGGUGUUGUGCAAAGAGAUCAAAACCCAUCGUCCAUUGAGUAGUGUGUUCGAGCCAUUGUAUCUAUUGUGGUAAGUAAUCGAACUUUCAUUUAGAGAAGUUUUUGCUAGUAUGUCGUUUGGGAUUUUGUAAAACCCCAUACCUAUAUUCAACGCUGGAAUAGGGCACGAGGCAUUACCGAAAUUAUACACAAGCAAUCAUACAAAACCGAGACAUAAAUUUUCAUCCAAUUUAAAAUUGUCACAUACAUUCACAUUGUCCCUAAAAUGAGCCUACAAGGCCCAAAACAUGCAUUGGAAGUGGUUCAGGACUAAACUGAGAACUUUAGAAAAUUUUACAGAACUAAGUAAAUUUUUCACUAAACAGGGGUCACACGCCCGUAUGGAUAUGGGACACACCCAUGUGGGACGGCCGUGUGGUCACACAUGCCCGUGUCCCGACCCCGUGCAACUUUCUUACUUACAACUCAUGACCAAAUUGAGCUCACACGGCCAAGUCACACGCCUAUGUGCAAGGCCGUAUGGAAAAUUAAUUUUCAUAAAAUAGGUGUAGACUUCACACAGCCAGAGCACACGCCCGUGUUAGAGGCCGUGUCAUCCACACGGCUGAGACACAGGUCCGCGUCUCUUCCCGUGUGCUCAAUUCUGAUCAUUCUGUUUUGCAAAAAUUAGGGUGCAGGGGACACACGGCCUAACACAUGCCCGUGGGGCAAACCAUGUGUCACACACGCCCGUAUGUCCACCCGUGUGGACAAAAAUAAGGCUAUUUACGAAGCCAUUUUGUCACCCUUCCAUACACAUACCUACAACAACAUACAACACCAAUCCAAGCACAUGCAUACAACCAAACCAGCCAUAACCAAGACAUCAACACCUCAUUCACAUACUAACAUUUAUCAUACACAAACUUUACACAUAUAUCAAUUCAAAUCAAGCAAAUUCCAACAUCCAUGAAAAGCAUCAUCAUAUAUAUACACUUAUACCAAUAUUAGCCAACUUCAAACGGCCAUUUACAAGAUGAAUUACCAACUAAUAUAGGCCAAUACACUAGGCCAGUUUAAUUAUGACACAUAACAAAAUGACCAAGUCCCUAUACAUGCCAUAGCUCAAAAUGUUGAAUUCAUUGGUACCCAAAAUAAUAAGUUGAUAAUGUGAGUGGAUCUUCGACAUCCUCCGAUCCCCGAGCUAGCUUGGUGACACUAUAAGGCAAUGGAAAAGAAAGGGGAGUAAGCUAUAUAGCUUAGUAAGUACCUAUGCAAAUAAUGAGCAUCAUAUCCAAAAAUUUAACAUGAUGAUAAUUGGCAUAAAUAUUAUUAAGAUCGUAUAAACAUAACUUACUCAAUCAUAACCUUACCGAGGGUUUAUCACGUAUUGAGCUCAUUACGUAUGAGUUUUACUACAUACCAAGUCAUCUUGAAUUGGAUUUACAUGCAAUUCAUAUAACAUCCCGAAUUAGGGCCUAGUAGUGGUUUCGGGCCAUAAAUUCAACGUUAAAAUAAUUAUUUUAUGAUCAUUAUGAGGUGUAGGAAAUGAAAAUAAGCAUGUGUUAAAGUUUCAUGAAGAAAUUCUAUGUCUAAGGUGUCCAAUUGGAAAUUAAGGACCAAAUUGAAUAAAUUACAAAACUUGAGUUCUAGAAGAAAUUAGUAUGAAAUUGCUAUGGAUUAUUAAUUAGAGGUCCUUAAAGAGUAAUUUUCCCAAUUUCUAAGUUUUUGGACAAAAUUGGGCAUGCAUGGAAAAUUUUGGAAGUUUAGUAAAGAAGGGUAUUUUGGUCAUUUGGUAAUAAACUAAAUAAAAAGGGAAAAAUCAAGCUAAAAUCAGCUCAUUUUCUUCUCCAUGCUACCGAAAUUCUAAGGGUCUCCAUAGCUACAGUUUUCAACAUUUUCAAGCUCAAUAGUAAGUGCUCCCUAGCCCCGUUUUUAACGCUCUUCGUAUUUUUGAGAUCCUCGUAACAUGCUCUCUCUAUUUCUACCCAUAUUUCAAGCUACGGUUCAUGUUCAAAAAAUUUACCCAUGCAUGAGAUGUUUGUAUUUUGAUUAUUUAUGGAGGAAUAUGAGAGUUUAAAGGAUAGUAAACAACUUUUACUAAGUAGUUUUUCAUAGAAAUGGCCUAAGGGACCAUUUUGUAAAAGUUGUGAAAAUAGGUAGAAAAAUGUGAAAUGAAAGAAAAUGUGGACUGCUAUAGGCAAGAAAAAUAUUUAGCUAUGCUUGGGUAACUUAGAAAUUUCAUGCAUUUCAUUAUACGAGCCUUAGGACUAAAUUGUAAAAGUGUGAAAGGUUAGGGGAAAAUUGCUCAUUUUGCCCGAGGUGAGUUUUAAAUCCUAAAAUGAAACAUGUGAUGUAUUAAUGGUCAAAUUUUAUUGAUAUAAACCUCGAGGAACCAAUUCCAGAGGUAGAUCAUGGAAAACGAAAGGUUUCGGAAUAGUCGAAAUGCGAAACUGAAGCAAUUACCAAGUAAGUUCGUAUAACCCGAAGUAAACUCUAAAUACACUUAAAUAUGUGUGUUCUUGAAUGUAUGAAAGUUUAGAUAUUCAUUGCAUGAUAAUUUAUGUAAUGUGCUUGUGUGAAUGAAAGAUGAUAAAUGUCCUAGUUGAAAUAGAAAGGGAAAUUCGACGGAUAAAUUAUGGCUUACAUGACAUGAGAUCCUGCGUUUGUUGCAGAAAAGGAUUUAGCCCAGACAGGUACUUUGACGAUCUCAAAAAAGAAAGGAUCUAGCCUAGACGGGGGUUCCUUGAGUGAUCGAGCCUCCCGAAGAACAUGGGUGCAUUAAGGAUUUAGCCCGGAUGGGUAAUUCGAUUGAGGACUGAAUUUAGCCUGCACUGGUAAUUCAGAUCCGAGCUUAUGACAACAAUUUUCAUUGAAAGGGAUUUAGCCUGGACUGGUAAUCUCGACAUUACUCUAUGAGUUAAUACUACAGGGGAUUUAGCCUGGACUAGUAAUCUAGCCAUAAGUUAUAAGGUUCAUGGGAACGCAUACUAGAGAUGAUCACUUGUAUAACUUGACGGUAAUUGGGCUAUCCAUCGAGAUUUCCAAGAAAUUCAAUGAGAUUAAUAGGAGAAAUAGAAAUGGAAAUAUUGAAUUGAUGAGCUCAUCUAAGACUAAUGACAUGAUGUAUUGUUAUGAGACUCACUUGAUGAAUAAGUGCAUAUGAUAGGGAAACUAUUUCAUGUUUGUUGGAAUUAGUACCUAAUAUGGUUGUAUGCUAAUUAACCAGUAAGUUUACUUUCUAGUUAUCCGGACUUACUAAGUAUAUAAAUGCUUACCCCUUUCUCUUUUCCCUGUCUUACAGAGCUUGUGGACUCGUGAAGAUUUGAAGACGGAUGGAGAAUCAACACACUACCAACUUGUCCUGCUUUGGUAUAUAGAUACUUCCAUUUUUUUAAUGGCAUGUAUAGGAUUUUUGUUUAUUUUGUUAUAUGUGUCAUUUGGCUAGCCAAUGUAAGGGCCUAAAUGGUAUACUUAUUCUUUUGUAUAUGGCCAUGAGAUAUGGUUCAUAUUGAUGUAGGUAGUAAACCUUCCAAUGAUGCAUGUCUAUGUUUAGAUGCUUUAAGAGAUAUGACGAUGUUUAUCAUGACUGGAUGAUUGAAAUGGAACCUAAUAAUUUGAGUGUGG